ACCCUAUGGCUAUGUACUAGUAAACAUGGUAGGCCUAAACAUGAACAACAUCAUUAUUCAUCGGCAGUUCAUUUUACUCCGAGCUUUUCCUGAAACAUAUAGCCAUGAUGAUUACUGCAGAUUAGGCCUACCAUGUACCAUGACCAAUAACAGCACUAGAUCAUGUGGAUGUCAACAAGUUCACAUGAACCGUAUAAUCCCGCAUAGCGCAUGUGGGGCAUGCGUCUAAACCAAAGCCCCAAAAUCACUUGUUUUGGUCUAUUUCAGUUUCACUUGUGUUUCCCCCGUCUCCCAGUCCAUAAUACAUUUACAGUUUACAAUCCCCGAUCAUGGCCCAACAAAAGGUCAUCGGUUGACUAAAGGAACACAACUGUUCAAUGGAUUUAUAGUUGAAUGCGAUCAAACUACGUCUUUUCAAUCGUGGAUUGUAAAUUUAACCCCAUGGGCCUAGGGAAGGCCCUAUAACAAUACUUUCGACACAGUUAUUAUCUCCGGUGCCUCCACCAUGUUACACACAGUGCUCACUGCUGAUUCUAAAAUGCGCCACCUAGUCAAAACAGGACAUAUGUUCUUCUAGGAAUAGAUCUCUUUCCAAUAUUUCGUCAUUCCACUAUCGUCAUCACCUCAUCAUACUUUCAUUGACAUUACAGGCACACAUCCACAGAGCACUCUUCAAAUCAUCUACACAGUGGUUAUCCAACUAGGAUUAUAAAGGCACACAUUGACAUUGACCACUGUUGCAGUCAACGACACAGUCGCUAUCCAAGUAGCAUUAUAGAGCUGUCAUGCAACGCAACAACUGUGCUAUCUGCCAUCGCACAUCAACGAAGAAGUGCAGCCGCCCACAUUCCACCUCACGUCUGUCCGACCAGCUGCAAUCCUCGAGGACGCCCCACUGUACCACGAUUUCACUACGAUGUUUGACAAGAAGGAGCAGUGCGCGAGAUAGGCUAAUGAGCAGACUUCCCUCGCUUGAGUUUCGGAAGAAUGUUCCAUAUCGCGCUAAGCUGACCACUGCUGACCAUGACAGGCGUGCAUUGGACUGGUACAGGUUGGAACUUAACAUUGAAUAUGCUGGUGGUGACGCUUUCUGAUGAGAAGUUGGUCGUGACUGAUGCAGUAUCCUUGGACUUGUCCACAGCAUCGUUCAAUCAUUGCUCUCUGAGCUGCCUUGAUUCUGUACUUACCCAAAUACUAAGACCAAAUGCCUGUUGACUGUGCUUUAAGAGAGACUGGCGCCAUGCCUAGAGAUAUGAUUGACCCCUAUUGGCAAAUUUGUAUGACUUUAUCUUGCCUACCUAGCUGCUGCCUAUAGUCUCCCUUUAACUGCGGAACACUUCAAAGUCGAUAAAAUGCCAUGUUCCACCUUUUAAUGUGUUCAGACCGCCAUUUUCAAAAUAAUCAAGUCAGGACACUGCCUUCUAGUCUCAUAAUAAAUUUUGCUUUCCUCAAUAAUAACAUUUCUUCUUCUUCAAUGCUUUCAUCAUUCCAAACUUCUCCUCCACUGACUUUUACAGGGGUACAGUCAUGGCAAUCAAAACCCAAAUACUGAGACCAAAUGCCUGUUGACUGUGCUUUAAGAGAGACUGGCGCCAUGCCUAG